rnacentral:rRNA from 1 species
UACGUAGGGUGCGAGCGUUAAUCGGAAUUACUGGGCGUAAAGCGUGCGCAGGCUGUUCUGUAAGUCAGAUGUGAAAUCCCCGAGCUCAACUUGGGAACUGCGUUUGAAACUACAGGACUAGAAUAUGUCAGAGGGGGGUAGAAUUCCACGUGUAGCAGUGAAAUGCGUAGAUAUCUGGAGGAACACCGGUGGCGAAGGCGGCAUCCUGGACCAACACUGACGCUGAGGAGCGAAAGCCAGGGGAGCAAACGGG